rnacentral:misc_RNA from 1 species
ACUCUGUUUUCAGCGAUAUCGUUGCUUGGUUUCGCCGGGUACACACACACACACACACACACACACACACACGCCUCCUACAGCAUACUGCCAGCUGACGAGCUUCAUCAGGAAGGAGUUCGCUAAACUUGAGCGGCAAGGCUAGCGGGAAGCGAGGCUUCACACGAGUUUUACCACGAUUGUAUCGUGCGUUUCCGUAGGCUUGCUUGCCAUGUCGCUUGUAAAGACGUUUCUCCGAGGCGGUACUCCCUGCACGACACCGUCGAAGCUGACGGAGGUGCUGAGCAGCGCGAACCCACCCUACACGCAUUGGAGGUGUGUUGCAUACUACCCGCGACGCUGGCACCACGAUGCCGUGGACAACAGAAUCACCGCCCCAGUUUUCUUUCUCUUGUUUGGCCGCCAGGAGUGGCGCGAAAACGGCGGCGCUGAUGGCGCGACGUCACCGAGGGGCGAGGCUGCGACGGUGCCCGAGGGGACAUGGCAUCUUCUCUACUACACCGUUCUGACUGAAGGCGCGGUUCCUGUGGAGACGCUUGCUCGCGACCACAAGGCAGCGUUGGAGGCGGAUAGAGGCAGUGGCGGCCCAGAUGCGAGCUCAGCAGCGGCUCUUUCCAGGAGCGGUGGGGGCGGCGUUGGCGCCUUACGCGUCCUCCUCCUUACUGUCCCCGCAACCCUGAUGCCUAGGGGGUCGCUGGAGUGGUACAGCGUGGCACAUGGUAUUGCGUACGAGCGGAUGGGUCUCUUGACAGCGUCCAUAUUUCUCGCGAAACUGGCACCUGCCGUCAGUGAGGUGCUCAGCAAGCACUGGAAGCCGAUGGCGCGCGACGGCAAAGAGGCAGGCAUGAGUAAGCCACCGGGCGCACUGCCUGCAACACGGCCCAGUGCGGGGUAUUACGUAUUGGACGGAAGGGCUGUGGAGGUGGUUGACUUCAUCACCAGCGGCGAAGGGUCGUCCUCGGCUUUUGCUGCACGCAGGCGGAACAAGGACGGUGCCUCCCUCUCUCCGCUGUUUCCUUCUCCGAACCCCAAUCUUCAGUUUGUCGCGACAACAGUUCACGAGGCCGUUCAGCACAUGUGCGCGGAGAGUAAGAUGGCAGGUCUGGUGGCUGACGCCUCCGCGCCGUCUAUCACCGAGGCUGGCUGGCGUACCCUCUAUCCCCUCGUGGCGUCGCUGCGGCCGUGCAUGUACACCUCUCUCUUCGAAGAAGCUGCCAACGCCGACCGAUCGCAGAAUACAUCGUCCAAUGAGGAUGUCGAAUCGCUGACGGGCCUGGCAAGGCUCCGUGCCGAGCGAGAUGCCGGCAUCGCGCAGUGGAAGAAGCAGAUCGGCAGUUACACGAGUUUCACAGUGCCGGAGAAGGAUUAUAACGCCAUCGCCGCUGACGUUGCGGCUCCAGCCCCUGUCGCUGAAGGUGCCCACGCCACGGCCGACUUGGCACCUCCUGCAGUACCACCCUUGGCUGCCAGCACGGCGGCGUCAGCGGAGAGCCGAUAUCGGCACGUUCUACUUCUGCAGCGGCCCAUUGUCACCAAGAAGCCGAUCGGUGUCGACAACCGCGAUGCUGGACCCCUCUCGCCACAGCCGAUCGGCGCCGAGCUGCACCUCGUGCGCGAUUGCGGGGAUAUCAGCUACGCCCUGGAGCAGCUGGAAAACCGCGCCAACCUGCACUUUGUUUUUGAGGACACGGUGCACGACGAUGGUGAGGUGCUGGUGCAACUAACCCCGGUAGAAGGGGUGCCGUUUUGCGACCUCGAGGAGUACUUCAGAACCGUUCCCGUUACGUCGGCGGCGCUGAAUUCGGGGGCUGUAGCUCAGUACUCGGGCUCGUGCUGCCCUGCGGUAGUACCGCGCGUCGUGUAUCGCCGGCCAACCGGCAAGACACAAAAGGCCAACCCCAUCGCACACGCGCUUACCGAGUUGGAGGUGACGUCGCCGACGCCGGCGAUGGUGAAAGCUGCUGCCGCAGCCCUUCUCUACGUAUCCUCGCAGCUGGUUGAGGUAUCGGGGCCAAUGACAGCUAUGUCUACGAACGACCGCGCCGCGAGGAGCGCGCCAGCACCGGGGUACACGCUGCACGUGCCGCCUGUUUGCUUUAGCGCUAUUUCGCACAAGAAGUGCGGCUGGUGUGGCCGCCGGCGCGAAGUUCUACUGCGCUGUGGCGGGUGUAAGGCCGUCUCGUACUGCUGCAAGCGGCAUCAGGCACUAGACUGGAAGGAGGGGCCCCACAGGCUGGAGUGUAAGCUGUGGCGUCGCGCUCGCGAGCUGCAGGAGCGCGUUGUCACACCGUGGAUGGGGCAGUCCUCGCCAAUGUGGAGGGCAGUGACGGCUGACGGGGAACCGAGCUUCUUUACGAAGAGUCGGGGCUGGUCUUGCGCUGCCACAUUGAUCCAGUUUUUGAGCGACAUCGAUGUGUCUGCUCGAAACGCUCAGCUGAAGUCGCCAUUGCCGGACAACAAAGUGCAGUAUAUUCACGCUGUGGGGCUGGACACCGGGUGCGUGGGUGAAUUUGUGCGAGCCCUGGCAAAGGACAUUGAAUUGCGGGAGGCGUUGACGUCCCUCAGCUUCAGUGCUACCGGCGGUGCGCGGCAGUACCGCGUGCUGAUCUGUUCCGAUACCUUCACGGAUGCCCAGCGCAACGCUGUGUGGGCCAUCCGUCGUGCCGCCACCGACUCGAUGUGGUUGACGCCUGCUACAGGUGUCCUGGGCGACGCGUGGCACUGCGAGGGGUGUAAUGCAGCAGCGAUGCAACCGACAUCAGCGAUGGCCCUGAUUCGACUGUCCGGCGUCAAAUACCACACCAUAGAGAGGCACCACGACGCAAACAGGGAGGGGUGCCCACGGGCUGUGCUAUCCUUCGGGCCCGCAAGUGGCGAGGGGUGCACUUACCUCACCGGCGCCCUUGAGGUGUUUGCCGACCACGAUGUCGGCGUUGCGCCGCUGCGGCUGGUGGACAGCUCGUACGUCGGCGCUGCCCGUACACGAGACGCAAUUGCUGCGCGUGUUGCCAGCAGUAACGCGUGCCCCACAGCCACCAAGAGCCGCGUCGCAGCGCUCGUGGCCAAGGCAAAGCAGGCAGAGUUGGCCGAAGUUUCAAGCGACGCCGAUGGCUCGCCGAACCCCACACGGGGGGCAUUCUUUAUACACUUCAACAAGAAGGGUGCAGCGGCCCUGGCCGAAGCCGAGGAUUUACGCACCACUGCAGGGCCCACGACUGCAAACCCGGUCUCGGCUUCUGUUGUGACGCCAUAUCUAAACUGUUUUCUGUGGGAUGUGUUGCCCUCCGACUGCGGCUGAGCGCCAUGGCGUGUGCACUACACAUUCACCUCGGCUUUCCCGAGUAUUGGUGCCCUUUUGGCUUUGUGCGUUGUGAUGGCAGCGGAGAUUGCGCCUGCGUGCCGAAGCCCGCAGGCGCGUGCAUUCGUGUCGUGGCUUGCCGACGCGGGCGAGGGGUGGUGGAAUCCUGUACUUUGGUGAUGGCGAGCCUUGCACAGUGGAUGCACACUUCCACCAAUCGUGCUCUGCCCCGGCGAUUUCCUUCCUCUUUCACAGCCAGUCUGUGAGCCUCUGUGUUGCCGCCUCAACAGAGAGACGCAUCUGCACUCCUCGCCGUCUUCAAGGGUUUCAUUCGCGUUCAUCUUCCGCUGCCUCAGUUUUCUCAUACGCUGAGAACUAACCCGAGGCACUGGCGCCGUGCGCACGUGCUUGUUUUUGUCGUUGUAGCGCACUCUGCCACGCCCUUUGCUCUCGAUGGUUAUCGGCGGCGGCUUUCUUCACCCGGUCACUGGAAUUCCUGCCCUGGCCUUCUUUCCAUGGGUGCUGGUGCUUGAGAGUCGGCCCCACCCCAUUCAACCCCGCCUUCGCAUGGCCAUCAGGUGGGACGGGAAAGCCAGCAGGAUGGCGGGCUCGGCACCCUCGCGAGUACAAGUAGUAUAGACACAGUACUUGCAUACCACCUCGGGGAAGAGGUUGCGGUGUAGGUGGCACGAUCGCACACGCCCUCCGUCUCGGAUUAUCGGGCUGCAUGUACAUUACUGGUGGCAAAGCCUAUUCCCUGUUCUUCUACCUUUUUCUCUCUCGCGCUGGCGAAGGAAAGAGCGUACUCACUUCAUACCGCUGCCUUUCUUGUGUUUUCCGCACUCGAGGUUGCGGUACGCCUUUCGCGCCUCCCUGUUCAUGCUUCGGCUCUUCGCGUGUCCCGUGGGCAGACGCGGAUGGCGCAUCUGAUGAGACCAUGUUGAUCCUCGUCACGUUUCUCUCAAGGAGCAACCCAAAUAACACGAAACAAGAACAUUAUGCGAGCGAGCGGGACUGCAUCGACGACGGGGUGGAUUCAAGGCGCUGCCCGCCCGAACACAUCCACAUUGUGUAGCCUUGAGGUGCCAGCCCCCUAUUUCAGCGUCCGACAAGUGUGCCAGUGGACUGCGAUGGCGCACGAAAAGAGACGAUGAAUAGCCUCAAAGGAAAAAUGCCGAAAAAUGAGGCAUCCAUGGUGCACAGGCGCACACGCAGUCUUCCACUUGUUGCACACCUGCUGACCGAACGAGUGAAAUAAAAGUACACAUGAUUGCUCUUCCGGCCACCUUCCACCUGCGCUUAUCCUUUUUUAUUUCCGCGUCUCACCUCUCUGUGUGCUCUUCUGCCGUCACUGGCCACCUUCUCAUUUUGGCACAUCGCCGUCACCACGGAGCGGCACCCACCCGAGCUGCCAUCGUAG